UACAGAGGGUGCGAGCGUUAAUCGGAAUUACUGGGCGUAAAGCGUGCGUAGACGGUUAUUUAAGUCGGGUGUGAAAGCCCCGGGCUCAACCUGGGAAUUGCAUUCGAGACUGAAUAGCUAGGGUACGGUAGAGGGAAGUGGAAUUUCCGGUGUAGCGGUGAAAUGCGUAGAUAUGUGGAGGAACACCGAUGGCGAAGGCAGCCCCCUGGGUCAAAACUGACGCUCAUGCACGAAAGCGUGGGGAGCAAACAGG
rnacentral:rRNA from 1 species